UACGUAGGGGGCAAGCGUUGUCCGGAAUCAUUGGGCGUAAAGAGCGUGUAGGCGGCCCGAUAAGUCCGCUGUGAAAGUCCAGGGCUUAACCCUGGAAUGCCGGUGGAUACUGUCGGGCUCGAGUCCGGAAGAGGAGAGUGGAAUUCCUGGUGUAGCGGUGAAAUGCGCAGAUAUCAGGAAGAACACCAAUGGCGAAGGCAGCUCUCUGGGACGGUACUGACGCUGAGACGCGAAAGCGUGGGGAGCGAACAGG
rnacentral:rRNA from 1 species